rnacentral:rRNA from 1 species
GCGGUUAUUCUCAUGGGCGAAGCCUGAUCCAGCCAUGCCGCGUGUGUGAAGAAGGCUUUCGGGUUGUAAAGCACUUUCAGCGAGGAAGAAAGCCUCUGGAUUAAUACCCCAGAGGAAGGACAUCACUCGCAGAAGAAGCACCGGCUAACUCCGUGCCAGCAGCCGCGGUAAUACGGAGGGUGCGAGCGUUAAUCGGAAUUACUGGGCGUAAAGCGCGCGUAGGUGGCUUGGCACGCCGGUUGUGAAAGCCCCGGGCUCAACCUGGGAACGGCAUCCGGAACGGCCAGGCUAGAGUGCAGGAGAGGAAGGUAGAAUUCCCGGUGUAGCGGUGAAAUGCGUAGAGAUCGGGAGGAAUACCAGUGGCGAAGGCGGCCUUCUGGCCUGACACUGACACUGAGGUGCGAAAGCGUGGGUAGCAAACAGGAUUAGAUACCCUGGUAGUCCACGCCGUAAACGAUGUCGACUAGCCGUUGGGACCUUUAAGGACUUAGUGGCGCAGUUAACGCGAUAAGUCGACCGCCUGGGGAGUACGGCCGCAAGGUUAAAACUCAAAUGAAUUGACGGGGGCCCGCACAAGCGGUGGAGCAUGUGGUUUAAUUCGAUGCAACGCGAAGAACCUUACCUACCCUUGACAUCCAGAGAAGUUGGCAGAGAUGCCUUCGUGCCUUCGGGAACUCUGAGACAGGUGCUGCAUGGCUGUCGUCAGCUCGUGUUGUGAAAUGUUGGGUUAAGUCCCGUAACGAGCGCAACCCUUGUCCUUAUUUGCCAGCGAGUAAAGUCGGGAACUCUAAGGAGACUGCCGGUGACAAACCGGAGGAAGGUGGGGACGACGUCAAGUCAUCAUGGCCCUUACGGGUAGGGCUACACACGUGCUACAAUGGCCGGUACAAAGGGUUGCGAGACCGCGAGGUGGAGCGAAUCCCAGAAAGCCGGCCUCAGUCCGGAUCGGAGUCUGCAACUCGACUCCGUGAAGUCGGAAUCGCUAGUAAUCGUGAAUCAGAAUGUCACGGUGAAUACGUUCCCGGGCCUUGUACACACCGCCCGUCACACCAUGGGAGUGGACUGCACCAGAAGUGGUUAGCUUAACCUUCGGGAGAAGCGAUCACCCACGGUGUGGUUCAUGACUGGGGGUGAGUGA